CUCGCGAUUGUGAUAAGUACUCGGUAGGUAUAUAAAAUUCGAAAGUAUUUUAAAAAAUUUUACAAAUAUGUUAAAUCAUAAUAUGAUAUUAGGCAGUGCUAAAGUGCGAUAGAACCCUCCCUACCUGCCUUAAUUAAUAAAAUGCAAUUAGCGAUUAUUAUUAUAUUUGUUAUUGUGAAUAUAGUAGUGUUAACAGUGGCGGCUUGUGGGUAGAAUAAUUGGUGGUGCAUCAUAGGCGUGCGCAGAUUUUGACUGCAGAUGGGCCUUUAAAAAGGU